rnacentral:rRNA from 1 species
AUGCUCGAGGUCGACGCCACGUGCAAUAUCUGCGGCAAUGGGGUAGAGGAUGAACAUCAUGCGGUGAUCACAUGCUCGAAGAGCAGGGCCCUCCGAGAAGCCAUGAGGAAGGAGUGGGCUCUACCCUCAGAGAAGUCUUUUAGAAACACAGGAACUGACUGGCUGCAGGUCCUGCUAGACAAAGGACCUGAGGAAAUGCGAUCAAAAAUCUUACUCCUGCUGUGGAGGUGUUGGCACUUGAGAGAGGACACCCUGAGACACAACGGCAAAGAAUCUAUUUUGAGUUCUGUACAAUUCCUAAAGAAAUAUGCAGAGGAGUUGGUUUCAGUGGCAAUGGCUGAUAAUGUGCCCAGGGAUGGAGAUGAUGAUAGAACAUGCUGCCCACAAGGACAAAGCAUGCAGUGGACGGGACCAGCACGAGGCGUCGUUAAGGUGAAUACUGACGCAGCUUUUCAAGCCGAUACAGGUGUAUCCACGGCCGAAGCAGUCGCAAGGGAUAGCAAAGGCCAUGUGCUCGUCUCAGUAUGCAGAAGCCUGUCAGCUAGCCGAUGCGUCGAGGAGGCCGAAGCGAAAGCUUCACUUACAGGGCUGCUCACUCUAGCAAAGUCCUACAGAGGGCCUCUGAUUCUGGGAAUGGACUGCCAUGCAAUCAUAAAAGAGCUAGGCGUAAGGGCGGCCUCGGUCUCAAUGCUAUGCUUUGAUCAGGGAUAUUAA